GACGUAGGGCGCGAGCGUUGUCCGGAUUUAUUGGGCGUAAAGAGCUCGUAGGCGGCUUGUCGCGUCGACCGUGAAAACUUGGGGCUCAACCCCAAGCCUGCGGUCGAUACGGGCAGGCUCGAGUUCGGUAGGGGAGACUGGAAUUCCUGGUGUAGCGGUGAAAUGCGCAGAUAUCAGGAGGAACACCAAUAGCGAAGGCAGCUCGCUGGGACGGUACUGACGCUAAGGCGCGAAAGCGUGGGGAGCGAACAGG
rnacentral:rRNA from 1 species